CCAGCCAUCUACACCACCUUGAAUGUGCUGGAUCUUGUCUGAUCCCAGAAGCUAAGCAGGGUUGAGUCUGGUUAGUGCUUGGAUGGGAGACCACCUGUGAAUACCAGGUGCU
rfam:Otolemur garnettii contig056692, whole genome shotgun sequence.